rnacentral:rRNA from 1 species
CCUACGGGUGGCAGCAGUGGGGAAUAUUGCACAAUGGGCGCAAGCCUGAUGCAGCCAUGCCGCGUGUGUGAAGAAGGCCUUCGGGUUGUAAAGCACUUUCAGCGGGGAGGAAGGCGUUAAGGUUAAUAACCUUGGCGAUUGACGUUACCCGCGGAAGAAGCACCGGCUAACUCCGUGCCAGCAGCCGCGGUAAUACGGAGGGUGCAAGCGUUAAUCGGAAUUACUGGGCGUAAAGCGCACGCAGGCGGUCUGUCAAGUCGGAUGUGAAAUCCCCGGGCUCAACCUGGGAACUGCAUUCGAAACUGGCAGGCUAGAGUCUUGUAGAGGGGGGUAGAAUUGCAGGUGUAGCGGUGAAAUGCGUAGAGAUCUGGAGGAAUACCGGUGGCGAAGGCGGCCCCCUGGACAAAGACUGACGCUCAGGUGCGAAAGCGUGGGGAGCAAACAGGAUUAGAUACCCGGGUAGUC